UCAUCAAGCAGAGCACUUGCUGCACCACAGCCUCACUGGCAGCUCAUCCAGCAGAGUACUUGCUGCACCACAGCCUCACUGGCAGCUCAUCAAGCAGAGUACUUGCUGCACCACAGCCUCACUGGCAGCUCAUCAAGCAGAGUACUUGCUGCAUGCACAGCCUCACCAGCUGCUCAUCCAGCAGAGUACUUGCUGCACGCACAGCCUCACCAGCUGCUCAUCAGGCAGAGUACUUGCUGCACCACAGCCUCACCGGCAGCUCAUCAAGCAGAGUACUUGCUGCACCACAGUCUCACCGGCAGCUCAUCAAGCAGAGUACUUGCUGCACCACAGUCUCACCAGCAGCUCAUCAAGCAGAGCACUUGCUGCACCACAGCCUCACCGGCUGCUCAUCCAGCAGAGUACUUGCUGCAGCACAGCCUCACCGGCAGCUCAUCAAGCAGAGCACUUGCUGCACCACAGCCUCACCGGCUGCUCAUCCAGCAGAGUACUUGCUGCACGCACAACCUCACCAGCAGCUCAUCCAGCAGAGUACUUGCUGCACGCACAGCCUCAUCGCAGCUUCUCCAUAUUAAAUUAUGUUGCACAUACCCCAGCUCAGCUGUAUCCCUCCAAAUCUCCUGGGAGGGAAUUUUUCCAGUAACAAAACAAGCCAGGGACUGUCCCUGGAAAUCAUGGACUGUUGACAACUAUGAAGUUUUUCAAUAUAUUUUAAUGAUCUAUUUUGCCUCCUUUUAAUGCAUUUUAGCUUUGAAAAGAGACCAUGGAAUGCUACUACUGACUUCUCAAAGCUAAUCCUGCUUCAUAUCUGUUCCUAAUUGGCUUCAUCAGAUAACUGCAUAACAAUACACUUUUUACUAAAAGGAAUAUAAACAAAUACACGACAGGCUAAACCAGAAUGCCUGACCAGUAUUCAUAAGAGGCGCCAGAUAAGUAUACUAGGCUUUGCUUUGUAAUUCUUCAAUUUCCUUGAAGUAUCCGGUCUUAUCAGACUCCCUGUCGGUAUGGAGAAGAAGUACAACAAAAAUUUUAAAUUACUGUCUUUGGGUGAAUUUCCAUCUGGGUAUGACAAGUACCAAAGAUACCGUUUCAAGCAGAACAAUGCUAAAUUUACAAUAAAGGAAGGCAAUCUAUUCUUUGGACAAAGAAGAGUUCUGAAAUUAGAGGAAGAAGCAAAGACGAUCUUCGAAGAAUGUCACACAUCGUCAAUGGGAGGUCAUAUGGGCAUCAACCGAACACAGGCGGUUAUCUCUUCAAGAUACUUCUGGCACGAAAUGGGCAAAGAU